AGGAAACAGAGGAGGCUGGCAUACUCUCAGGGUUGCCGAGUGGAGUCAAGUCACCAUAGCAACGCAUGACGUGUAGAUGCACCACGUGGUUGCUGUGAUUUGCGGUACGCCAAGGACAGCACUGCGGGUGGCGAUUUGGUUCGUAUUUAAGUUUGAAAAUUUUGCAAGCUAGCUGUCAAUAUGAAGUAGCCAGGUGGGG